GAUUGAACACAUGAAGACAACAUUGUUCAGUCGAUACAUUCUUCCAAAAUUAAAUUUGUAUUUUCCUGCUUGUAGUCCUAUUGUUCCGGUUUACAAGCUUCAAAUUACAUAACAUAUAU
rfam:Picea glauca, whole genome shotgun sequence.